rnacentral:rRNA from 1 species
AGAGUUUGAUCCUGGCUCAGAACGAACGCUGGCGGCGUGGAUAAGACAUGCAAGUCGGACGCGAAUUUUUCUUCUAGCAAUAGUUGAAAAGUUUGAGUGGCGAAAGGGUGCGUAACACGUGGGCAAUUUACCUUUUUGUGGGGGAUAACUGCGCGAAAGCGCGGCUAAUACCGCAUGUGGUUGAGGGUUGCAUAACUCGAAAACCAAAGCUGGGGUCGCAAGACCUGGCGCAAAAGGAGGAGCCCGCGGCCUAUCAGCUAGUUGGUGAGGUAAUGGCUCACCAAGGCUUACGGGUAGCUGGUCUGAGAGGACGACCAGCCACACUGGGACUGAGACACGGCCCAGACACCUACGGGUGGCAGCAGUCGAGAAUUUUUCUCAAUGGGGGAAACCCUGAAGGAGCGACGCCGCGUGGGGGAUGAAGGACUUCGGUUCGUAAACCCCUGUCACUUGGGAACAAACGUUUUAACCUAACACGUUAAGACCUGAUAGUACCAGGAGAGGAAGGCACGGCUAACUCUGUGCCAGCAGCCGCGGUAAUACAGAGGUGCCAAGCGUUGUUCGGAUUUAUUGGGCGUAAAGGGCGCGUAGGCGGUCAUGCAAGUCGGGUGUGAAAUUCCGGAGCCUAACUCCGGAACGGCAUUCGAAACUGCAUGGCUCGAGAUCUGGAGAGGUGAUUGGAAUUCUCGGUGGAGCAGUGAAAUGCGUAGAUAUCGAGAGGAACACCAGAGGCGAAAGCGAAUCACUGGACAGAAUCUGACGCUGAGGCACGAAAGCUAGGGGAGCAAACGGGAUUAGAUACCCCGGUAGUCCUAGCCGUAAACGGUGCGCAUUUGAGGUGAGAGGACUCGACCCCUCUCGUCUCGUAGCUAACGCGUUAAAUGCGCCGCCUGGGGAGUACGGUCGCAAGAUUAAAACUCAAAGAAAUUGACGGGGGCCCGCACAAGCGGUGGAGCAUGUGGCUUAAUUCGAUGCAACGCGAAGAACCUUACCUGGCCUUGACAUGUACGUAGUAGAAGGAUGAAAGUCUGACGAGGUAGCAAUACCAGCGUACACAGGUGCUGCAUGGCUGUCGUCAGCUCGUGCCGUGAGGUGUUCGGUUAAGUCCGGUAACGAGCGCAACCCCUAUGAUCUGUUGCCACUCUCAGCAAUGAGAAGCACUCUGAUCAGACUGCCCUGCAUAACGGGGAGGAAGGUGGGGAUGACGUCAAGUCAGUAUGGUCCUUACGGCCAGGGCUGCACACGUGCUACAAUGCCCAGUACAGAGGGAAGCCAACUCGCGAGAGGGAGCCAAUCCCAGAAAACUGGGCUCAGUUCAGAUUGAAGGCUGCAACUCGCCUUCAUGAAGCUGGAAUCGCUAGUAAUGGCGCAUCAGCUACGGCGCCGUGAAUACGUUCCCGAGCCUUGUACACACCGCCCGUCACACCAUGGGAGCCAGGAGAGCCCGAAGUCGGUACGCUAACCGCAAGGAGGCAGCCGCCUAAGGCUAGACUGGUGACUGGGGUGAAGUCGUAACAAGGUAGCCGUAAAUCGUCGACCUGCAGGC